rnacentral:lncRNA from 1 species
AGAAGCAGGGCCCUUACUCAUAAUUUAGAUACUUGACUUUUCUUUCUUCCUUUAUAAUCAUAAUAGGUGCCCGGGCGAGAGAGAUAAGUUGCUCUGUAACAUUCCUUUCCGGAAACUCCAGGCAUCUAGAAAGCUGCCCUUGCCUCGAAGCCUUUAACCCAGUAAGUAUUUGUUGGCGCACUCAACUAAACUUCCCGCGCGUGCACCAAACGACUGAGUUUCAAUUGAAAGAGCCCAGGUAGUAGAGUAGCCCAGAGGUGGAGGAGCAACUACUUUCU